rnacentral:lncRNA from 1 species
CAGCACUUUUGGAGGCCAAGGCAGGUGGAUCACUUGAGGUCAGGAGUUUGAGACCAGCCUGGCCAGCAUGGUGAAAUGCCAUCUCUACUAAAAAUACAAAAAUUAGCCAGCAGUGGUGGCAGGCACCUGUAGUCCCAGCUACUCGGGAGGCUGAGGCAAGAGAAUUGCCGAGACUCUGUCUCAAAAAAAAAAAAAAAAAAAAGGAAGAAGAAAAAAAGCAGGGGGAAGAAGGUGGGAUCAGCUGGCUUGCUAAGUCUUCCCACUCUCAUCUUUCUCUCUUGCUGGAUGCUUCCAGCUCUUGAACAUCAGAUUCCAGGUUCUGCAGCCUUUGGACUCUUGGACUUAGACCAGUGGUUUGCCGGGGGAUCUCAGAUCUUCAGCCACAUACUGAAGUCUGCACUGUUGGCUUCCCUACUUUUGAGGCUUUGGAACUCUGACUGAGCAACUACUGGCUUCGUUGCUCCUCAGCUUGCAGGUGGCCUAUCGUGGGACUUCACCUUGUGAUCACGAGCAAAUGAGUGAUGCCAACAGGAAAUGACGUGGAAAGAGAUGACUUCUUUGGAGCAGCCAUGAUGGAGUUAGAAAGGAGUUGGAGGAUGAGCAGGGCCUGGGAGUCCCUCAUCGCUCAGACUGUACUGAUACAGGAGUCUCUCAGAAAGACAACAUUUUCUCCUCCUAAAGGAAGCAGGUUUCUGUCACCCAGGCUGGAGUACAGUGGCACGAUCACAGCUCACUGCACCCUCAACUUCCCAGGCUCAGGUGAUUCUCCUGCAUCAGCCUCCCGAGUAGCUGGGACUACAGCCUCUCAAAGUGUUGGGAAUACAGACAGAAGCCACUGCGCCUAUCCUGUAAUGCCACUUUCUUUCAUGAAAACAAGGGCGGCAGAUAGAAGAUGUCUGGAAAUUCUUUGCUGUUUCUCCCAUUGAGAGGUGUGGACACAUUGAGAAGUCACUAUCUAUGAACUAGGAAGCAGGAUCUCACCAGACAUCGAAUCUGCUGAUGCCUUCAUCUUGGACUUCUCUCUCAGCCUCCAGAACUGUGAGAAAUAAAGU